GACGAACGCUGGCGGCGUGCUUAACACAUGCAAGUCGAACGGAAAGGCCCUGCUUCUGUGGGGUGCUCGAGUGGCGAACGGGUGAGUAACACGUGAGUAACCUGCCCUUGACUUUGGGAUAACUUCAGGAAACUGGGGCUAAUACCGGAUAGGAGCUCCUGCUGCAUGGUGGGGGUUGGAAAGUUUCGGCGGUUGGGGAUGGACUCGCGGCUUAUCAGCUUGUUGGUGGGGUAGUGGCUUACCAAGGCUUUGACGGGUAGCCGGCCUGAGAGGGUGACCGGCCACAUUGGGACUGAGAUACGUCCCAGACUCCUACGGGAGGCAGCAGUGGGGAAUAUUGCACAAUGGGCGGAAGCCUGAUGCAGCAACGCCGCGUGCGGGAUGACGGCCUUCGGGUUGUAAACCGCUUUCGCCUGUGACGAAGCGUGAGUGACGGUAAUGGGUAAAGAAGCACCGGCUAACUACGUG
rnacentral:rRNA from 1 species